UUGGCUCGUUUAUUUGGAAGGAUAGGAGUUUUUUUUUUUUUUUUUGAUGUUUCAGUUCACACUCCAUUCCAGUUGGUGGCGGUAACGUGCCCCCUUUUUUUUUUUUUUGCCAAUUCAUAAUAAACCCCAAGAGAAGAAGAAGACUCAAGAUGACAGAGAGAGGGCAGAUGAAUUGAACUUGGACCAAAGGCUAGUAAACUGAGAACUACAUGGACUGAGAAGUGAACAAACAAUGAUUCGGCAUAUUUUUCGUGGUUAAAUAUGUCAAGGAAAAACAAACUCUUCACUAUAUGUUGAAACCCACAAGGUUUCUGGAUAAUUCAGCACGGGAGCCAUUCAUGAAGAGGAUCAGACUAGAUCUGAUUUUCAAGAGCCACCUUCACAUCCUGCUGAGACCUACAAGACUGCCACCGCAUCCACCAUGACGGUCAAGAACAAGGAAGCUCAGCCAUGGCUGGACAUGGAGCAUAAUCCAAGAUGGGCUGAUCAUCAGCUAAUCAAGUGUAUUCAACUUUCACCAUGUGGCUGCUACAGUCUGUCUUCAGUCCAGUCCAGCCAGGUUGUAGAUGGUCUUUCAGAAAGAUGACAGAUGAAAAAGUGAGGGAAUGAGAAAACAUUCUAGGCAGAGGGCAAUGGCUCCAAAACCCAGACGGACCUGGCGCAACCAAUCUCUGCUUCACAGGCGCAAG